rnacentral:piRNA from 1 species
UGCAAAGAGAACCAGAGACAAAUGGA